GCCGGGUGUGGUGGCGCGCGCCUGUAAUCCAAGUGACCGGGAGGCUGAGGCUGGUGGAGCGUUUGAGCUCAGGAGCUCUGAGCUGCAGUGGACUGUGCCGAUCGGGUGUCCGCACUAAGUUCGGUAUCGAUAUGGUGAUCCUGGGGCAGCCCGGGACCAGCAGGUCGUCUAAAGAGGGGUGCACCGGUCCAGGUCGGAGACGGAGCAGGUCAAAGCCCCCGUGCCGCUCAGUAGUGGGAUCGCGCCUGUGAAUAGACGCUGCAGUGCAGCCUGAGUAAUACAGCGGGACCCAGUCUCUU
ensembl:misc_RNA Metazoa_SRP Metazoan signal recognition particle RNA